GCUCUCUUAGUAUUUAAUCAGU
rnacentral:tRNA from 1 species